CCUUGUACAUCUCUCACAAAUCUGCUGGCAAUAUGACAAGUCAAGGCACUCAUGAAUAUGCUCUAACUCUACUAUCAGUUUGUGAGAUCUUCCAAACAAAAAUUGUAUAUAUGAACAGGGUCAAACGGCAAGAGCCAUCUACUAUGAAUGUACUAGUAGGCAACGGCUGCAGAGAUCUUCGAACAGCUACCUCCUCAAACAAGUCACACAUUUCAUAGCAUGUGUAAGGCUAGCUACCUAAUGAUCUAUGAAUCAGUAUCUUUUAAGUAAGCAUGACUACAAAAAAACAGCAUGUUCACAUCAUUUCCAACAGGGCUAGAUUCAAUUCGAAAAUGCACUGAUCAAUUAGAGUCCUUGGCAGGAACACUACUCCAACAGUUUGUCAAUAUUUAACUGCAUGAAAACAACAAUCCACACAGGAAAGAUGUAUACAUAGAGCCUAUUUCAGGACAAAACACCAAGGCACACGAUCUGAGGCCGAGAAUA
rnacentral:rRNA from 1 species